rnacentral:rRNA from 1 species
GGAACGGUCUGGAAAGUCCGACGGUACAGGGUGAUAGUCCCGUACACCAAAAUGCACAGGCUGUGAACUCGAAGAGUAGGGCGGGACACGUGGUAUCCUGUCUGAAUAUGGGGGGACCAUCCUCCAAGGCUAAAUACUCCUGACUGACCGAUAGUGAACCAGUACCGUGAGGGAAAGGCGAAAAGAACCCCGGCGAGGGGAGUGAAAAAGAACCUGAAACCGUGUACGUACAAGCAGUGGGAGCACCUUCGGGUGUGACUGCGUACCUUUUGUAUAAUGGGUCAGCGACUUAUAUUCUGUAGCAAGGUUAACCGUAUAGGGGAGCCGCAGGGAAACCGAGUCUUAACUGGGCGUUAAGUUGCAGGGUAUAGACCCGAAACCCGGUGAUCUAGCCAUGGGCAGGUUGAAGGUUGGGUAACACUAACUGGAGGACCGAACCGACUAAUGUUGAAAAAUUAGCGGAUGACUUGUGGCUGGGGGUGAAAGGCCAAUCAAACCGGGAGAUAGCUGGUUCUCCCCGAAAGCUAUUUAGGUAGCGCCUCGUGAAUUCAUCUUCGGGGGUAGAGCACUGUUUCGGCUAGGGGGUCAUCCCGACUUACCAACCCGAUGCAAACUACGAAUACCGAAGAAUGUUAUCACGGGAGACACACGGCGGGUGCUAACGUCCGUCGUGAAGAGGGAAACAACCCAGACCGCCAGCUAAGGUCCCAAAGUCAUGGUUAAGUGGGAAACGAUGUGGGAAGGCACAGACAGCCAGGAUGUUGGCUUAGAAGCAGCCAUCAUUUAAAGAAAGCGUAAUAGCUCACUGGUCGAGUCGGCCUGCGCGGAAGAUGUAACGGGGCUAAACCAUGCACCGAAGCUGCGGCAGCGACACUAUGUGUUGUUGGGUAGGGGAGCGUUCUGUAAGCCUGCGAAGGUGUGCUGUGAGGCAUGCUGGAGGUAUCAGAAGUGCGAAUGCUGACAUAAGUAACGAUAAAGCGGGUGAAAAGCCCGCUCGCCGGAAGACCAAGGGUUCCUGUCCAACGUUAAUCGGGGCAGGGUGAGUCGACCCCUAAGGCGAGGCCGAAAGGCGUAGUCGAUGGGAAACAGGUUAAUAUUCCUGUACUUGGUGUUACUGCGAAGGGGGGACGGAGAAGGCUAUGUUAGCCGGGCGACGGUUGUCCCGGUUUAAGCAUGUAGGCUGGUUGUCCAGGCAAAUCCGGAUAAUCAAGGCUGAGGUGUGAUGACGAGGCACUACGGUGCUGAAGUAACAAAUGCCCUGCUUCCAGGAAAAGCCUCUAAGCAUCAGGUAACAUCAAAUCGUACCCCAAACCGACACAGGUGGUCAGGUAGAGAAUACCAAGGCGCUUGAGAGAACUCGGGUGAAGGAACUAGGCAAAAUGGUGCCGUAACUUCGGGAGAAGG